rnacentral:rRNA from 1 species
UCAGCAAGUUAAUGUUAGAUGCGAGACGGGUUCACAAAAGAUUAAGUGGUCAAACUUACUUACUUUUACUUUGACGCUAAAAAGAAGAGUUUUAGCCGCUUUUUGGAUUAUAAGAUAAAAGUAAACUGAGAAUGAUUACCUAAAUGAGUAAGGUAAUAUAAGAUAAUUAUUGCCUGAAAUAAGGAAUAUUAUCACCUUGUCCUAGAUAAACCAAUUAUUAAUUAAUGAUUAAGUAUCUAAUGUUAGACCCGAAGCCUAGUGAUCUUACCAUGAUCAGGGUUAUAAAGGCCCGAACGGGUUAUCGUUGUAAAGAUAUCCGAUGAAUUGUGGUAAGUUAGUGAAAGACAAAACUGACUAGGAUAGCUGGUUUUCUGCGAAACCUAUAUAAGUAGGUAAUGUAAAUAACAUCAUAGCAGGUACAGAACUGUGAUCUCGGACAAAUUAUGUUGCUUUCUUAACGAUAGCAACAUGGUUUUGUAUACAUCGGGGAAUCGUGAAGAUUUUAUCGGCGAGAAUUUGCUCUCGGAAGGGCAAUGAUGGAUUUUGCAUAAUCGGACAUAGUACGAUAAGGUUGUAUGUCUAAAGGGAAACAGCCCAGAACAAGAGUUAAGGUUCCAAAAUUAUUGUUAAGUGAAAAUAAGGAAGUUUUCUUCAAAUACAACCAGGAAAUAGGCUUAGAAGCGGCCAUUUUUUGAAGACCUCGUAACAGAGCACUGGUUUAACAUUAAAAGUUGAAAGCACCGAAAAUUUAACGGAUCUAAAACAAUAUACCGAAACCUUGUCUAUAAAUAAAAUAUAUAUUAAAUUAGAUUUCUUUAGAUUCAUACUAAAAGUAUAUUUAGCUUAAGAAUUUUAUUUAUGGGGUAGCAGAACGUUGGGCAUGUCUUAGACUUAAUAUUUUUAAUAUUGAGUAGGUUCGGCAGAAUAUGUACUACUACCAAAAAUAAUAGGUGCUACACUUACUAACUAAAACAAGUAGGUUGUAGGUUCAACGCUUAUUUUUCGAGGUAAAUAGAUACACUGUCGAAUAAGAUGACCCCAAGUGAGAAUGCUGGCAUGAGUAACGAAAAAGGGAUAGCCCCUCGCCUUAAGCUUAUGGUAUUUAAAUAAAGUAACGGCCUCUAAGUUUAUAAUUGUCCUAAAGGAUUAAACGAUGAGAAAAAUCUUAAGUCUUGAUAGAGGUCUAACAACAUUGUGAUAUUUUGAGUACACAAUGUUCUGGAAAAGGACCUUUAAAUGUAAUAGUACGUCAUGUAAUGUAAUGUACUGGUCGCUUAAAAAGCGUAUAAAAACUUUACAUUUGACAAACCGUACCUAGAUACUACCACAAGUAAGCAAGUAGAGUAUACAACAAUCAUUAAGGAACUCGGCAAAAUGACACCGUAACUUAGGGAUAAGGUGUGCCAUCCUUCUUAAGUAAUAUUAAGUUAAGGAUAGGAGGCAUAGAGUGGUGUUGUACGACUGUUUAAUUAAAACAAAGCACUUUGCAUAAGAUGACAAAUCAAAGUAUUGAGUGUGAAUUCUGCCCAAUGUUGGCUGGUUAACGAAGAUUCUUAGCCGACUAAUAUAAGCUAGGUUUUGAAGGAAACCCCAAUCAAUGGCGGCCUUACCGAUGAGGGUCCUAAGGUAGCGGAAUACCUUGGCCGUUAAAUGCGGUCUUGCAUGAAUGAUUUAACGAUACAACAGCUGUCUCAAUGAUUGGCUCAGUGAAAUUGGAAUAACUGUGCAGAUACAGUUUACCUCUAGUUAGACGAGAAGACCCUAUGCAGCUUUACUGUUUGUAGUUAUUGGAUACAAUGGAACAAGUUGUAGCGUAUAAGGUAGUUGAUAAGAUACAAUUGAAACACCUUUACUUAGUUUAUUGUAUAAGCAAUGCAACUGCCGAGAAGAAGAAGGAAGAUUUUUGUUUGCCUUUUGUUAAUAGGUGUUUGUGUAGUAUUAGUAAAGAUCACAUGAUCACUUGUGUGGUCUUAGUAGAGAUGAAUAUGAUAAGCUUUCCACCCGAAGUAUCAGUAUUAGACGCAUAUAUACGUGCUUAUACCACAAACACUGAUUUGAUAACCUAGUAAUGGUCAAGCUACAAUUAAGGACCAAUGGUUGUGGGUCGGGUAGAGAAGUUGCAAAGCUAAUCCUAUAAAAGAUAUAUAUAAAAAAUAUAUAUGUUUGGAAACAUUGGCUAUUAGACAGUUUAUGCGGGGCACAGAUCCCACAAAAAGUACCUGGGUGUAUCCAAAGUUAAUUUUGUAAAUUUAUUGGCAAUAAUAAUUUGCCAAUAGAUAAAUAUAUUAUAUAGCAAAAGCUUUUGCUUUUAGCCUGUGUAAUGUAUUUUUAUUUUAAUCUGUAAUGUAUUGCUUUCAAUAUAUUCAGUUAUUUAUCUAUUAAGUUAGAUUUAUUUAUUUUUUUUAAGUAAGAUUUUAACUAUAUGGAAAAUAGAUGUAAAUAAAACACUAAGACAAUGUUUAUAAAGUGACAGUAGUGUUUUAGUUUAUUUUCUUAAUAUGCUUUUGAUAUUAAGAAAAUGAUGAUUAUUUUACUUUAAAAGUUUAAUGGCUUAAUCUUGCUUUACUGUUUGACUUACACGUCUAUCAGUU